rnacentral:rRNA from 1 species
UACGUAGGGGGCAAGCGUUGUCCGGAUUUAUUGGGCGUAAAGAGCGUGUAGGCGGUUUGGUAGGUCCGUUGUGAAAACUCGAGGCUCAACCUCGAGACGCCGAUGGAAACCAUCAGACUAGAGUCCGGAAGAGGAGAGUGGAAUUCCUGGUGUAGCGGUGAAAUGCGCAGAUAUCAGGAAGAACACCCGUGGCUAAGGCGGCUCUCUAGUACGGUACUGACGCUGAGACGCGAAAGCGUGGGGAGCGGACAGG